rnacentral:rRNA from 1 species
AGCACUUGGGGGAUGCUUUCUUAGUAUAAUAUAUUAGGUUUUGCUAUUCCUAAUAUCUUUUAUUAAGAAUUCAAAACUUUGAAUGUAAUUCUAGAUAAAAUAUUGAUAAUGACAAAGUUUUAUCUAUAUGUCUUGACCAAAUAUUGUGCCAGCAGUCGCGGCAACACAAUGAAGACAAGUGUUAUUCAUCUUAAAUCGGUUUAAAGGUACCUAGACGGUAAAUUAGGCCCUAAUCGGAACAUUUUUACUAGAGUUAUAUAUGCGUGAGGAUUAUGUGAGUAUUACCAGAGUAGAGAUGAAAUUUUUUGAUACUGUUAAGACUGGUAAAGGCAAAAGCAAACCUUUAUAUAUUAACUGACGUUGAGGGACGAAGGCUUGG